AUUUUAUUUCACUGUGGCAAUUAGUUUAUCUACGUCAAUAUACAGUGGAUGGACGGAUGAGUUCUGGUGCCUGAAAAAGAAUUGCUUCGAAUAAGUGGGAACGAUCAAAUAUUAUCGUUACAUGCUGUAAUCAUGUCGCGACCAUAAACUUGACGUUCGAAAAUACAGAAGUGGAGAAGUCUUUUGAGAUGCCUAUUUUGUCACCACCACCCUUGCAAAACAGUGUUUUGAUUCCGUCGUCUUGGAAAAUUCCGGAUAGAACCACCUUGGACUCUGAAAGGAGAGGCUCUCAAAUUCAUUCCAUUGAUGAUUAUGUGGAAGAACUGAAAUUCAUACUGGAAAAAGAUUUGUUGGACGCUGAUGGUGCUAAAAGCAACAUCAACCUCAAAAUCGCCAAAUUGGAAUCUAAGAAA